rnacentral:rRNA from 1 species
GAUGAACGCUGGCGGCGUGCUUAACACAUGCAAGUCGAACGAAAAGUGGAGACGCAAACCUUCGGGCGGAUGACUUUAUUUCGAUUGGCAGCCGGUGGAUUAACUCGUUGUUAACCUGCCUCAUACAGGGGGAUAACAGGUGGAAACGACUGUUAAUACUGCAUAAGACCGCAGCACCGCAUGGUACGGGGGUAAAAACUCCGGUGGUAUGAGAUGGACCCGCUUUCGAUUAGCCAGAUGGCGGGGUAACGGCCCACCACAGCGACGAUCGAUAGCCGAGAUGAGAGGAUGGCCGGCCACACUGGGACUGAGACACAGUCGAAACUCCUACGGGAGGCAGCAGAGGGGAAUAGUGCACAAUGGCGGAAGUCCUGAUGCAGCGACGCCGCGAGAGUGAAGAAGUAUUGCGGUAUGUAAAGCGCUAGCAGCAGGGAAGAACAUGACGGUACCUGAGUAAGAAGCCCCGGCUAACUACGUG